rnacentral:lncRNA from 1 species
AAGAGAUCAAAGAGGUCAGCUUCUGUUGUCCCGGGAAAGGGAGGCAGGUGACAAGCUAACUCUGCUUCAAAAUCAACCAUCCGGUGGACACUGUGUGGCUGCCAUCUGCCUGGCACAAGGUUUCAGCAUCGGGCCCCUGGGCAUGUUUGUGGAGAUGCCAGCAGAAGACCAGACGACCGUCAACAGAACCUGGAUGGGAAGGCCCUUCCUAUGCUGAGCCAUGGGUUUCACUCUAGAAGCCACUAUCCCUGGGGAGGAGAAAACUGUGCUGCCUGUCACCAGUACUUCACCCAUGUAAUGGAACCACACGGCAAAGGACGCAGCCUGGGUAUCAGGAGACCACACACUUGAACAGCUCAAGCCUGUGGCCAGAGGUGAGAACCCGGAAGCCUCUCUCCCGCCCGGCUGACUGAGCUCCCGCAUUCCUGCUGCUUCCUUAAAAGGACCAUCCAGGCAUUUGCCUGUGAACUUAAAGUGAUCACACCCUGUUCCCUUAUAAAUACUGCUAGCUGUCAUGCGCUAACUCUUCAUUUCUGCCUUGCAUGACCCAGGGACAGAAGACUGCCCUCCCUACUCAUGGCACCUCCUUGUCCAAAACCUGUAGGUAAAAUCUCUGAACUUGUUUCCUAUUGUGGUGCUGUGUUUCCGAAAAACUAGGAGGUGUUUGCCUAGGUUAAGUUUUCCCCGGGGAUGCCAGUGAAAACACAAAAUCAGGCUCCCAGUGCCACAGCAAUGGUCAGGUGGGCAUAAACUGGACACAGUUUAAACAAGUUUCUCUCGUGAGGGACCCCUGGUCACAGGUCAGACAACUAAGCAUGAGGCAGUCCACCAGGUCUAAGAAGUAUCCCGUGAAAGGCGCACUGUAGAGACCACGACCAGUUCCCUUCAUUUUUCUGGAGGGUUGGGUUGGCAGCCGCUCUGGUAUGGUGCUCCCCAUUUAGCUGGGGGUUCUCAGAACAACUGGACACCUAGUUGUGCCCAGAUGCCCAGCCCUCCAAGAGCUGAGAGCUUACAGGGGUCCCAGAGACCAGACCUGGGGCCCAGAGGCCUGACGGAGAAAGCACCCACUGGCCGUGUGCGGGGGCUGCUGCCACUCUGACCACACCAAACCCGGCCCUUGCUCCCCUGGU